GGAAUUAAGGACGGCACGUUGUCCUUGUAAUGGGGAUCCAGCAGGGUGGCCACCCAGUAAUCAGCACAAGUUAGAAUGUGGGCAACUCGGCAGUCGUUGCGCAGGCACUUUGGUGACUCUAGAUAACCUCGGGCCGAUUGCACGUCCCCGUGACGGCGACGACGCAUUCGGAUGUCUGCCCUAUCAACUUUCGAUGUUACUUUCUGUGCCUACCAUGGUGACCACGGGUAACAGGGAAUCAGGGUUCAAUUCCG